GAUGAACGCUGGCGGCGUGCCUAAUACAUGCAAGUCGAGCGAAGCGGGGACGGGUGAGUAACACGUGGAUAACCUCCUAUACGACUGGGAUAACCUAGGGAAACCGGAGCUAAUCCGGCUGCUUAUCCAUGGAUCCGCGCUGCAUUAGCUAGUUGGUAAGGUAACGGCUUACCAAGGCCACGAUGCAUAGCCGACCUGAGAGGGUGAUCGGCCACACUGGAACUGAGACACGGUCCAGACUCCUACGGGAGGCAGCAGUAGGGAAUCUUCCGCAAUGGGCGAAAGCCUGACGGAGCAACGCCGCGUGAGUGAUGAAGGUCUUCGGAUCGUAAAACUCUGUUAUUAGGGAAGCGGUACCUAAUCAGAAAGCAACGGCUAACUACGUGCCAGCAGCCGCGGUAAUUC
rnacentral:rRNA from 1 species